UACGAAGGGUGCAAGCGUUACUCGGAAUUACUGGGCGUAAAGCGUGCGUAGGUGGUGAGUUAAGUCUGAUGUGAAAUCCCCGGGCUCAACCUGGGAAUGGCAUUGGAUACUGGCUCGCUAGAGUGCGGUAGAGGGUGGUGGAAUUCCCGGUGUAGCAGUGAAAUGCGUAGAGAUCGGGAGGAACAUCUGUGGCGAAGGCGGCCACCUGGACCAGCACUGACACUGAGGCACGAAAGCGUGGGGAGCAAACAGGG
rnacentral:rRNA from 1 species